rnacentral:rRNA from 1 species
UUAGCAUGGAACAAUUUCCUACGACAUGUGGUUCUAUUUUGUUGGUUUCUAGGACGGCCAUAGUGAUUCAUAGGGACAGUCGGGGGGAUCAGUAUUCAAUUGUCAGAAGAGAAAUUGUUGUAUUUAAUGUGUACUAGCUACUGACUACCCUUUUGUCGAGGAUGUUUUCCUUAAUCAAGAACGAAAGUUAGGGGAUCGAAGACGAUCUAAUACCGUCGUAGUCGUAACCAUAAACUAUGCCGAUUAGGGAUCGGACGGUGUUAUUUUUUGACCCGUUCGGGACCUUACGAUAAAUCAAAAUGUUUGGACUCCUGGGGGAGUAUGGCCUCAAGGCUGAAACUUAUGGAAAUUGACCGAAGGGCACCACCAAUGGUGGAGCCUGCUCCUUAAUUUGACCCGCCCUUGGGAAACUCACUUUGUCCAGACACCUUGAGGAUUGACAGAUUGAGAGCUCUUUCUUGAUUUCUUAUGUGGUGGUGCAUGGCCGUUCUUAGUUGGUGGAGUGAUUUGUCCCGCUUAAUUGCGAUAACGAACGAAAACUUAACCUGCUAAAUAUCCCGUAUUGUUUUGGCACUUUCCCUGCUGCUUAAAGGGACUAUCCGUUCAAGCCGAUGGAACUUUGAUGCAACAUCAAGUCUGUGAUGACCUUAGAUGUUCAGGGCCGCAUACUGAUGCCCCCGACUGAGCCUAUGAGUACUCCCUUGGCCCUAGGCCCGGGUAAUCUUGAUAAACUCUGUCUAUGCUGGUGAUACAUGAUUGCAAU